UUGUUAUAAUUUGUUAUAAACAAGAUUCAGACAUAUAAUAAGGGUGAUAAAUGUCUUUGGCAGGCGUCUCACAACCUAAUCUCAGAGUUUCCCCCUCAAAGACCUGCCAAAGCAACAGUGUAAGUUCACAAGUGUGUAGAGAGAGAGGCCCGAAGGCCAGACUUUCAUUAAUGAUCCUUCCGCAGGUUCACCUACGGAAA
rnacentral:misc_RNA from 1 species